rnacentral:tRNA from 1 species
GAGCCAUUAGCUCAGUCUGGUUAGAGCGACGGACUCUUAAUCCGUAGGCCGCGAGUUCAAAUCCCGUAUGGCUCG